GAAAGAAAUAUGGAAAGGCAAAUAAAGUAGGAGAAUAGCAUACUUACUUACAAUAACUAUGCAUAAAACAAAAGUAACAAGUACCUAAAUCUACCAUGGGCAGAUAUGAAACAGAUCCAAAGGGAAGACAGAAAUGACAUCAUUGUUAUUUUGUUAGUUUAUUAAGACUUGCUGGGUAGUACAGUGGAUAGAGCACUUGGGCCUGGAGUCAGGAAAACCUGAGAGCACAUCCAGCUUCAGACACAGCCUCAUUGUGUAACCUCGGGCAAGUCACAACCUCAUUAAGCUGGUCUCAUCAGCUACAAAAUGAGAGCAUUGAGCUGUUAAAGAUUCUCAACGUGGGGUCUGCAAACUUAUAAAUUUCAAUGGUGAAGUGUCACAGGGAGAGUGGAAAACUCUCAGUGAAGACCUGUAAUUAGAAAAUUUCCACACCAAGAACAAAAACAAUGACUUUGGGCCACUUCCUGACCCCACUCAUCCAUAGAUCAGAAGGCUAAGUUUAACUUCUCAUGGAGGGAGUGUAGGUAACAUAGAUAGCA
rnacentral:lncRNA from 1 species